rnacentral:tRNA from 7 species
UCUUCCUUGGUCUAGUGGUCAUGAUUUCCGCUUGUCACGCGGGAGACCGGGGUUCGAUUCCCCGAGGGAGAG